UAUCUCUGUAGAGUCUGCAUAUCAAUAAGCGGAGGAAAAGAAACUAACUAGGAUUCCCUUAGUAACGGCGAGUGAAGCGGGAAGAGCUCAAAUUUGAAAUCUUCAAGGUUUUACCUUGACGAAUUGUAGUUUAAAGAAGUGUUUUCUGUUGAGGUUUUGGUAAAAGUUCUUUGGAAUAGGACAUCAUAGAGGGUGAGAAUCCCGUAUUUGACCAUUACUUCCAGCGUUGUGAUACACUUUCAAAGAGUCGGAUUGUUUGGGAAUGCAGUCCAAAAUGGGUGGUAAAUUUCAUCUAAAGCUAAAUAUUGGCGAGAGACCGAUAGCGAACAAGUACCGUGAGGGAAAGAUGAAAAGAACUUUGAAAAGAGAGUUAAACAGUACGUGAAAUUGUCAAAAGGGAAGCGUUUGACACCAGUGUUGUUUUCUCGAAAAUCAAUUAAAAAAAGUUGGAUUUUGUAUUGUUAAGACCUUAUCAGCUUACUGUACUCUUUUCUUGCUUUUUUUAAUGCACUUUUCGUUUAACAAGUCAACAUCAAUUUCUUUUGUUGUAAAAGGGUCAUUGGAAGGUGGCUUUCUUUUCGGAGAAAGUGUUUAUAGCCUCUUGCCUAUGCAGUCGGAGAGAUUGAGGUCUGCAGCGUAGAUCCUUCGGGGCUAAAUGCAUUUGUGCUAAGUUAUAGCAUUUUAUAGACAACUUGUUGACUAUGAUUUGUCUUGUAGCUUACUCGCUUAUGUUAUUUUACCUACGCUUAGGAUGUUGACGAUCAGCUGAGCGCG
rnacentral:rRNA from 1 species